rnacentral:rRNA from 1 species
GACAGAGGUGCCAAGCGUUAGGCGGAAUCACUGGGCUUAAAGCGUGUGUAGGCGGGCGGGCAAGUACCUUGUGAAAUCCCACGGCUCAACCGUGGAACGGCUGGGUAUACUGCCUGUCUUGAGCCAGCUAGGGGCGACCGGAACAGACGGUGGGAGCGGUGAAAUGCGUAGAUAUCGUCUGGAACGCCAAAGGUGAAAACAGGUCGCUGGGGCUGAGCUGACGCUGAGACACGAAAGCCAGAGGAGCGAACGGG